GACGAACGCUGGCGGCGUGCUUUACACAUGCAAGUCGAACGCUGAAGCUCAGCUUUUGUUGGGUGGAUGAGUGGCGAACGGGUGAGUAACACGUGAGUAACCUGCCCCCUUCUUUGGGAUAACGCCCGGAAACGGGUGCUAAUACUGGAUAUUCACUGGUCUUCGCAUGGGGGUUGGUGGAAAGGGUUUUUCUGGUGGGGGAUGGGCUCGCGGCCUAUCAGCUUGUUGGUGGGGUGAUGGCCUACCAAGGCUUUGACGGGUAGCCGGCCUGAGAGGGUGACCGGUCACAUUGGGACUGAGAUACGGCCCAGACUCCUACGGGAGGCAGCAGUGGGGAAUAUUGCACAAUGGGCGCAAGCCUGAUGCAGCGACGCCGCGUGAGGGAUGGAGGCCUUCGGGUUGUGAACCUCUUUCGCUCAUGGUCAAGCCGCAACAAUGGUUGUGGUGAGGGUAGUGGGUAAAGAAGCGCCGGCUAACUACGUG
rnacentral:rRNA from 1 species